CAAAUAUGGAUACACAGGGAAUAGAGGAAUAUUGAAUUUGUGCAGUUGGUCUGGGCAUUAUGUUUAGCACAAACAUUGUGGGCCGAAGGACCUGCCCUUUUACUGUUCUGUUCUAAUUAUUUAAUUGUCAUAUGUACAGGCAACAGGCAAUUUAAAUUAUUUUCUUGUAGAUUAACAAGCCUGUAAUUGCAACAACAUAAAAAUGCAUUAAUCAAAAUGUCAGUAAAUUAAGCGUCUUGAUACCAAUGUAAAAACUGUCUGUAAUGCAACUCAAGACUCAGUCUGUAGUUCUUCUUCAUUGUUCAUAGUUGUGGUUAGUGUUGGGCAAUGUUUAAGAGCCUGAUGGUAGCUGGGAAGAAGCUGUUCCUGAACCAGGAGGUUGUGUUUUUUAAGCUACAGUACCUUGUUGCUGAUGGUAGGUGAAAUAUUGAGAGUGUGGUCAGGGUGGUGUGGGUCUUUGACAUUAGCUACCUUUAGGAUGCAGCAUCUCCUGUAGAUCCCUUUGAUGGUGGGGAGAUCACGGCCCGACCGCCAGCUACAGGAGCCAAGAUCGCCCCGUCAACAGACAUCUCGGGGCCCCUGACCGCGGGAGAGCAAAGAAGGGAAGAUAUUGAACUUUUUCCAGGGUGAUCAUCAGCCUCUGAUUGACCAAAGGACAAGAUCUGAAGAGAUGGCCAUGGACCGAGGGAAACAUGUAGAAGCUUCAUCGCUCCUGACUCUUCUGUGUUCCUGAGGAGGAUGUGGUGCUACUAGGAAUAGGCUGAGCUGCUUCUCCGCUGAACUGCCUUCCUGUACCUGGUAUGGGACAUUGCUCGGGACUUCAGGGUCGCUCAGCAUUUGGAGAAACAAUGGGCCUUUGGGAUCUUCAGCGUUGCCCUGCCCUUCAAGUCCACGGCUGAAGAUCUACCUCCAACAUUUUGCUGCACAGGGCCAGAGGGAAAAAUCGGGCAGAAGCCCAUUGAAGACUCGUCACUACGGACUGUAACCUGUUCCAAUGAGAGAGAUCAGAUGUCACCAGAAACCCACUGUAACCACUCUGGAAACUGCUCUUCCAGGGUGCAGGACGUUACUCAGUACGUACCCUUCCAAAGGUUGUCUAUGUAGACAGCAGGACUUAACCAGUUGGGGUCAUGAGGACCAGUGGGUCUAUUGUCCAACCAAGGAGUUGUUCUGAAGUCCCGACCUCCCUUUCUUUUGUAGCAGGUGACUCAAAUCCCACCCACCCUUUCAAAGGUCAUUGUAAAAGCAACCAAUAAAGAGCCGAGAUCU